rnacentral:rRNA from 1 species
AACGAACGCUGGCGGCAUGCUUAACACAUGCAAGUCGAACGCAUCCUUCGGGGCGAGUGGCAGACGGGUGAGUAACGCGUGAGAACGUGCCCUUCAGUUCGGAAUAACCCGGGCAAACUGGAGCUAAUACCGGAUACGUGCGAGAGCAGAAAGAUUUAUCGCUGAAGGAUCGGCACGAGUCUGAUUGGCUGGUUGGUGGGGUAAUGGCCCACAAAGGCGACGAUCAGUAGCUGGUCUGAGAGGCUGAUCAGCCACAUUGGGACUGAGACACGGCCCAAACUCCUACGGGGGGCAGCAGUGGGGAAUAUUGGACAAUGGGCGCAAGCCUGAUCCAGCCAUGCCGCGUGAGUGAUGACGGCUUUAGGGUUGUAAAGCUCUUUCGUCCGGGACGAUAAUGACGGUACCGGAAGAAGAAGCCCCGGCUAACUUCGUGCCAGCCGCCGCCGUAA